AUAUCAAUAAGCGGAGGAAAAGAAACUAACAAGGAUUAGCCUAGUUACGGCGAGUGAAACGCUAAUAGCCCAACUUGAAAAUCUCCCUGUGAGAAUUGUAGUCUAGAGAAGCGCCCUCUGCGGCAGCCGGAGCCCAAGUUCGCUGGAAGGCGGCGUCAGAGAGGGUGAUAACCCCGUCGGCUCUAGGUUUGCUGCUCCACGAGGUGCUUCCGAAGAGUCGUAUUGUUUGGGAAUGCAGUACAAAAUGGGAGGUAAAUCCCUUCUAAGGCUAAAUACUGACGAGAGACCGAUAGCGCACAAGUA
rnacentral:rRNA from 1 species